CCUACGGGAGGCAGCAGUGGGGAAUAUUGGACAAUGGGCGCAAGCCUGAUCCAGCCAUGCCGCGUGAGUGAUGAAGGCCUUAGGGUUGUAAAGCUCUUUCACCGGAGAAGAUAAUGACGGUAUCCGGAGAAGAAGCCCCGGCUAACUACGUGCCAGCAGCCGCGGUAAUACGUAGGGUGCGAGCGUUAAUCGGAAUUACUGGGCGUAAAGCGUGCGCAGGCGGUUAUGUAAGACAGAUGUGAAAUCCCCGGGCUCAACCUGGGAACUGCAUUUGUGACUGCAUGGCUAGAGUACGGUAGAGGGGGAUGGAAUUCCGCGUGUAGCAGUGAAAUGCGUAGAUAUGCGGAGGAACACCGAUGGCGAAGGCAAUCCCCUGGACCUGUACUGACGCUCAUGCACGAAAGCGUGGGGAGCAAACAGGAUUAGAUACCCUGGUAGUCCACGCCCUAAACGAUGUCAACUGGUUGUUGGGAAUUAGUUUUCUCAGUAACGAAGCUAACGCGUGAAGUUGACCGCCUGGGGAGUACGGCCGCAAGGUUGAAACUCAAAUGAAUUGACGGGG
rnacentral:rRNA from 1 species